rnacentral:rRNA from 1 species
UACGGAGGGUGCAAGCGUUAAUCGGAAUUACUGGGCGUAAAGCGCACGCAGGCGGCUUGUUAAGUCGGAUGUGAAAGCCCCGGGCUCAACCCGGGAAUUGCAUUCGAUACUGGCAAGCUAGAGUAUGUGAGAGGGGGGUAGAAUUCCAAGUGUAGCGGUGAAAUGCGUAGAGAUUUGGAGGAAUACCAGUGGCGAAGGCGGCCCCUUGGCACACUACUGACGCUCAGGUGCGAAAGCGUGGGGAGCAAACAGG